CAGGCCACUUUCAAUCUCAGUCAAGUUGAGGGGUCAGUUGCACGAAUGGUAACUGUAAUUCAAACUGGUCACUGGAAAAAGUGCCGCUGUGUGGGAAUCAAUUGUAGUUUCUCCGGAAAAGAUGUUACAGCCAGUGUAUGAAGACUGAACUUUUGGUACGGUCAUAGGUGCUCUUGCAAAGACUGAUGGCCUGGCAGCAUAAACUAUUCUAUGGCAGCUGAGCGUGCAGGUCAGAACGUGUUAGAUGCCCUCACUGUCAUGACAGAGGAAGCUGGCGGCCUCGAGUCCUCGACAAGAUUGAGGGAUUACAGAACCAGGAGAACGAGACUGUGUACAGGGCAGCACUAGAACUCACUGGAAAAAAUACUUUGGUGGAGAUGUAAGAUAUACAAUGAAUCUUGAUACAUUGAAAUAUUUGGUUAAAGAAAUGUUUUCAGUACUUUAAUGAUGUAUCAGCAGGGCUGGG
rnacentral:lncRNA from 1 species